rnacentral:rRNA from 1 species
CAGCCGCCACGGUAAUACGAAGGGUGCAAGCGUUAAUCGGAAUUACUGGGCGUAAAGCGCACGUAGGCGGACACUUAAGUCAGAGGUGAAAUCCCAAGGCUCAACCUUGGAACUGCCUUUGAUACUGGGUGUCUUGAGUUCGGGAGAGGUGAGUGGAACUGCGAGUGUAGAGGUGAAAUUCGUAGAUAUUCGCAAGAACACCAGUGGCGAAGGCGGCUCACUGGCCCGAUACUGACGCUGAGGUGCGAAAGCGUGGGGAGCAAACAGGAUUAGAGACCCGUGUAGUCCCUGUCUCUUAUAC